UCCUUUUUAGGGCAUGUGGGCUUUGAUAACAGCCGGCUUUCCAGUCGCUCUGCAAAGAAAAUUCACAAAACAUUUCUUAUUUGGUAAGCUUGUUAACAAAUUUUAGUUCAGUUUUGCUGAAAGUUAUAGCAUGCAUCAGGUAAGAAGCAAUUGGUUUUUAAAAAGCAUAUACAUUCCCCAAAACAUUUUUAUUAUGUGCAUUUUGGAGAAUAAAAGAUUGUACACAAUUUCCCUUUUUAAAGUAAAAAGAUUAUUAAGUGUAAUUCUUACUUAUUCAGUAGAUUAAAGUAUUGAAACAUCAUUAUUCAUAAAAUAUGCACAUUACAAAAUUAAAGUUAUUCAAAAAUUACUCAAGUACUUACUCCAAUACUCACAUUAUUCAAGUAAAUUUAAUUUUUGCCAAUGUAAUGUCACAUAAAAUCUUAAUCUGAAUAAGGGUUCUGAACCCCACUGUCACGGCCAGGGGAUCAGCAGGCAGUGUUUUUGUGGGGUUUUUUUUUUCUCUCACCCGCUCUCGCUCGCGCUCGCUCGCUCUCGCUCUCUCACUCGCUCUCUCACCCGCCAGGGCGGAACUCAUGGUGGAUUCACGCCCUCGGCCCACGCCCCUCUGAAGAGGAAACACCUGGGCCUCAUCAGUGCAGCCAGCAUUUAAGCCAGGGAGUGGCUUCUACUCAUCGCUGGAUAGUUGUGGAUCCCCUGGACCCGACUCUGCAUUCCCCGAGCAGAUUCCCUUUUUGUGUGAGUGUUUGGAGAGAGAGUCAGAAGAGGAGGGUUAGAAGAGGAGGUCUUUCCCCUACCUGGAUUUCCCCGGAGCCUUUUCCCUGUCACCGCUUUGUAUAUAGCACUAUCCCCUGCACUGUUUGUAUAUACACCUGGUGGAACUGUAAUAAAUACUGACUGUGCCUCUGA